rnacentral:rRNA from 1 species
AUACGGAGGGUCCGAGCGUUAUCCGGAAUCAUUGGGUUUAAAGGGUCCGUAGGCGGGAAUCUAAGUCAGUGGUGAAAUCUUGCAGCUCAACUGUAAAAUUGCCAUUGAUACUGGAUUUCUUGAAUUAGUGUGAAGUGGUUAGAAUGUGUAGUGUAGCGGAGAAAUGCAUAGAUAUUACACAGAAUACCAAUUGCGAAGGCAGAUCACUAACACUAUAUUGACGCUAAGGGACGAAAGCGUGGGGAGCGAACAGGAUUAGAAACCCCGGUAGUCC